rnacentral:rRNA from 1 species
GACGAACGCUGGCGGCGUGCUUAACACAUGCAAGUCGAACGGUGAUGCUCCAGCUUGCUGGAGUGGAUCAGUGGCGAACGGGUGAGUAACACGUGAGCAACCUGCCCCAGACUCUGGAAUAAGCGCUGGAAACGGCGUCUAAUACUGGAUACGAAACUGGCCCGCAUGGGCAUGGUUUGGAAAGUUUUUCGGUUUGGGAUGGGCUCGCGGCCUAUCAGCUUGUUGGUGAGGUAAUGGCUCACCAAGGCGACGACGGGUAGCCGGCCUGAGAGGGCGACCGGCCACACUGGGACUGAGACACGGCCCAGACUCCUACGGGAGGCAGCAGUGGGGAAUAUUGCACAAUGGGCGAAAGCCUGAUGAAGCGACGCCGCGUGAGGGAUGACGGCCUUCGGGUUGUAAACCUCUUUCAGCAGGGAAGAAGCGAAAGUGACGGUACCUGCAGAAGAAGCACCGGCUAACUACGUG